rnacentral:lncRNA from 1 species
CUCGUCAUACCUUAAUUCUUCCGCCACAUAGUAACCUCUCUGAAACCGUCAACAUCCUCCCUUUGCUGAAUACUUAAUCCUUCUGUUGCACCGUCGAGCUGCGCUACCGAGUUGCUCUUCCUUUUUUUUUCUCCAACGAAUUUUUCUCUCGAUCUCUUCUACAGAAUUCAGUGAAUUAUGAGUUUUAGGAAUUACAAGAAUUUCAGAUAUACGAGAAUUAUGAGAUGCAAAUGCAUAUCUAAGAAGCUUUGGGACGAAAAUGAAUUAGUACAAUCGUUUCCAAGAUCUGUUUUAUUACCAGAGGAAUGGAUGGUCCAAACAGACCGUUGGCACCAUUCAUUCCCCAUUCAUAGAUCCGUCGCACAUAUUCGCGACACAAAUGGUACGAAAUAUGUCAUUUUCCAUUGUUCGGGG